rnacentral:RNase_P_RNA from 1 species
AGUGGAUUGGAUGGCCGCUGAAUAAAUUUAUUUUAUUCAGAGGAAAGUCCGGGCUCCUAAGGGCAAGGUGCCGGUUGCAAAAUCGGUUGGAGCGAUCCAAAGGAAAGUGCCACAGAAAAAAUACCGCCGAUACUUUCAUAAAUCGGUAAGGGUGAAAAGGUAAGGUAAGAGCUUACCGCUUUGGAUAGUAAUAUCAAAAGGCACGGCAAACCCCACCUGGAGCAAGGCCAAAUAGGGGAGCUAUGGAUUUUGCCCUUAUCCAAAAGUUCUCGGGUGGGCCGCUUAGAUAAAUGGUCAUCUUAAACAGAACCCGGCUUAUAGAUCCACUCG